GGUCCGAUGGUGCAGUGGCAGCACUCCAGCUUUGGCUGGCGACGCGUGUUCGAUUCUCGCUCUGACCA